ensembl:lncRNA
ACCUUUGCUUUAUUUUAUAAUAUAUAUAUUUAUUAAUUUAUCGUUAUACAUAUCCAUUUAUUUAUUUUUUUUACAGAUUAUUCUUACUGUCAAUUACUUACACUCAAAAAAUUUAGUACACAAGUUAUUAAUAUAAAAUCUACUCUUAGCAAUAAAUAUAAACAUAUAUACAUUCAUAAAAAUAAACCAAUACAUACAUACAUACAUAUAUAUAUACAAUAAAAUACUUUAACAUUAUUUAUAAAAAAAAAAAAACAAUAAUUUAGGAACCUACAUCUUCAAAGCUUCCUGAUCAAACCUAUUAACAACGAAAUUAUGAUUAAAUUAGAAGACAUUCAUAAGAUUAUAUUAAAUUCAUCAAAAUGUUAUAUUUUCUUCUUAUCUAAUUAUAUAUGUAUAUGUAUAUAUAUAUAUAUAUAUAUAUAUAUUAUUUUGAUACUUAAUACUUGUAAUUUUUGUUUUUUUCUAUAUUUAGCAAACGUAACCAUGAAAAGCCAAAAUGUGUACAGCAUUGGAGUUAUAAUGUAUUUUUUAAUAUUUGGGAAAUAUCCAAAUUCUUAUAUGGACAAUAAAGAAGAUAUUUUUUCAUUCCCUUCCAAAUUGUUAGUCCUUUUUUUUUUUUUUUUAAUUUAUAAUACACUGUAAAGUAAAGAAAUAUUUGUUUUGUUUUGCAUUUAUUUUAAUCUUGUAUUGAUCUACUGUUUUCAACACUUUAUUUUUUCUUUUUAUUGCUCUACAUUGUUUAAACGUUGAUUUUUUUUAACAUUUUAAUAGAUGGGAAAAUGUAUCAAAAAAGGGGCAAAGUUUUUUAAAAACAAUUUUACUAAAUGAUUUAAGGUUAUUUAAAUAUAUAAAUAAAUAUAUAUAUUUACGCAUCGUUUAAUAUAUAUACAUAUGAAUUUGCAACUUUUUUUUGUAAAAAGUUCUAUGAUAACUUCUAGAGAAGCACUAGAUCACGACUGGUUUAAAGAAAAUAUGAAUCAGACUGUAUAUAUAAAUUAUGAUAUACUACAAAGUAUUUAUAACUUCUGGAGAAUAAAUACCUUUAAAAGAUAUAUACUUAAUAACAUUUCUAAGUUUUUAGUGAAAGAAGAUAUAUAUAAAUACACUUCUUUGUUUUUUUAUUUUGACAUAACGGAAGAAGGGUCAAUAAAAUAUACACAAUAUUUUGCAACUAUGAUGAAACUAGGUCUCAUGGAUGCCAAUGUAAGAACUACUGAUAUAUUUGAUUUAUUUAUUUAUUCAUUUAUUUACUCAUUCGUUUAUUUAUCCAUUUAUUUUUUUAAUUAAUUAUUUUAUUCAUUCAUUAAUUUUAUUUUUUUUUUUUUUCCAAAUUGCCCUAAUCCAAUGUAUAUUGUUUUUAAUUUUUCAUGUCAGAUAAAAGAAUCAUUUGAUGGAUUAGAUAUCUUAAAAAGUGGACACAUAGAAUUUAGCAGUAAAAAAUGAACAUUUUUUGUUGUUUAUUUAAACUUUGAAAAAUUAUUACAUUUAUUAUUUUGCAUAGUAAUAAUAAUAAAUAUCUUUUUUUUUUUUAGAUGUUAUAGCUU